GAGAGAGAGACCCAAAAAGGGUGGUUUGAGUCUUGGUUCACACAGUCCCCCUGGUUAACUACGCUUUUAUCAGCCCUAGCCGGUUCAUUAAUAUUCCUCAUAUUAUUGCUAACUGUAGGACCCUUUUUUCUCAACCGUGUAGUUUCCUUUCUCCAAACUCAAAUUGGACAGGUUAAACUUAUGGUAAUCAGAAAACAAUAUACCCAAUAGCAGACAUAAAAUGUGACACCCCCAAUGAUCACUUUUAUGAUUAAAAGUAGCCAGAAGAAGAAGUGGGGAAUGAAAGGUUAAUAAAAUAGGUACUUGUCACUCCGUUUUUCUGUAUGCUUAACAAAACACUGUUGAAAUCUUAAGAACUGUUUGCUAAUCUUGUUCCCAGAAUGUGCUGUCCCCAACUGCCAAACUGAAGAAUGUACUCCCUCACCUGGUUGCAGGCAAACUGCCCACUCACCCUGACCCGUCAAUGAACUUCCCUCCCUA
rnacentral:lncRNA from 1 species